UACGUAGGGUGCGAGCGUUGUCCGGAAUUAUUGGGCGUAAAGAGCUCGUAGGCGGCUUGUCGCGUCGGAUGUGAAAGCCCGGGGCUUAACUCCGGGUCUGCAUUCGAUACGGGCAGGCUAGAGUUCGGUAGGGGAGAUCGGAAUUCCUGGUGUAGCGGUGAAAUGCGCAGAUAUCAGGAGGAACACCGAUGGCGAAGGCAGGUCUCUGGGCCACUACUGACGCUGAGAAGCGAAAGCGUGGGGAGCGAACAGG
rnacentral:rRNA from 1 species